AAGAGGGCCUAGAUUCAGUAGUGAUUGUUAGAAAUUUACUUGCAAUAGCAGCUGUGAAGGAAUGGCAUUUACAUCAAUAUGAUGGGAAUAAUGCAUUUCUACAUGGUGAUUUAAAUGAAGAGGUACAUAUGGAGAUGCCUCCUGGACAUCCUAAUGUAGGUGAUUCAAAAGUAUGUAAGCUGCUCAAAAAUUUGUAUUGGCUUAAACAAACAUCCGGACAAUGGUACUCCAAGCUCUCGACCUUUAUCAUUUAACGUAGAUUCACUCAAUCAAAGGCUGAUUACAGCGAUUCUCAAAGUCUACAGAGAAUUCCUUUAUUGGUAUUCUUGUUUAUGUGGAUGAUAUAAUUGUGGCAAGUGACAGUUUGAACAGUAUUGAUUUCCUCAAGAGUUUACUUGACAAGAGAUUCAAGAUCAAAAUCUCGAGAACAUUGAAAUAUUUCUUGGGAAUAGAAGUAGCAAGAUCUAAUAUGGGAAUCUAUAUCUGUCAACGAAAGUAUGCUUUAAACAUACUAUUUGAUUCGGGAACAAUAGGAUGUACACUAGCCAGAGUGCCUUUGGAUCAGAAUGUCAAAAUCUCUAAAACUGAUGGAGGGGUGCAGUUAUAGAUGCUAUAACAAAACUUCUUAAGAAAAUCUCUCGAGAAAUCUAUGAAGAUAGAAUUAGGUCUCAACAAGCAAAUCGGUGUUUUACUACCAAUCACAAGUUUCAUGUUGGACGCAGUAUGAAUACGGGAAAUUAUGAUCAAGGAUUACUUUAUCAACGGGGUUCUUCCAGAUCCUACAAUUUAUAGAAGGCUUGUUGGUAGAUUGCUAUACCUAAUUAUCACCAAACCUGACCUCUCAUAAUCAGUUCAAUUGUUGAGUCAAUUUAUGAGUACUCCUGAGCUCUCAUAUUUAGUUCAAUUGCUGAGUCAAUUUAUGAGUACUCCUCACAUUUCCCACUUGAAUGCUGCUCAAAAAGUAUUAAAAUACAUAAAGAGAGCGCCAGGACAAGGACUGUUGUUUCCUACUAAUUCCAACUACAACUUAAUGCUUAUAAUGAUUCAAAUUGGGGAGUAUGUCCAGAUACGCGAAGAAGUGUAACAAGUUUUUGUGUUCUUAUUGGAUCUUCUCUAGUAUCCUGGAAAUCCAAGGAGCAGGAUGCAAUAUCUAGGUCUUCAGCUGAGGUAGAAUAUAGAGCGAUGGCACACGUGUGUUGUGAGUUAACCUGGCUCAGGUAUCUUUUCGAAGACUUGAAAAUUGAUCAUCUACAGGCAGCUAAUUUGUUUUGUAACAAAUCAGCUUUGUACAUAGUGGCAAACCCAGUUUGCUAUGAAAGAACAAAUCACAUAGAACUGGAUUGCCACCUAGUACAUGACAAGAUUCAAGAAGGAAGUGUGGUUAAUAAGCAUCUUGGUAGUAAAUCUCAAAUUGCUGACAUCUUGACUAAGGCCUUAAGUUCGUUUCAGUUUUAUCAACUUAUGGACAAGAUGGGAGUUUUUGACAUCCACUCUCCAUCUUGCGGGGGAUGUUAAAACACCAAGCUCAAUUCAUGAAGGAUCAGCAGCAGCCAAUUUCAGCCAAUAGGAAUCUGGAUCUGCAGGAAGAAGGCCACAUUUUGGAUGAUCGAUGACAGGGGAUGGAAGGAUUUUGUCAAUGGAGCAAAUAGGACCAUUUUUCUGUUAGAAUAUUUAUGGCUACGCCACUUUCAUUAUCUCUGCUGUGUAUUAUUCUAUAGUUUUUCAUCUGGUUUGAUACUUUAUAAUAAUCCAUCAAUGGCAG
rnacentral:lncRNA from 1 species